AUUGAACGCUGGCGGCAGGCCUAACACAUGCAAGUCGAGCGAGCGGCGGACGGGUGAUUAAUGUCUGGGUAACUGCCUGAUGGAGGGGGAUAACUACUGGAACCGGUAGCUAAUACCCCAUACCAUCAGAUAUCCCCCGAUGGGAUUAGCUAGUAGGGGGGGUAACGGCCCACCUAGGCGACGAUCGCUAGCUGGUCUGAGAGGAUGAUCAGUCACACUGGAACUGAGACACGGUCCAGACUCCUACGGGAGGAAGCAGUGGGGAAUAUUGGACAAUGGGCGAAAGCCUGAUCCAGCCAUGCCGCGUGUGUGAAGAAGGUCUGCGGAUUGUAAAGCACUUUAAGUUGGGAGGCGUUACCAACAGAAUAAGCACCGGCUAACUUCGUGCCAGCAGCCGCGGUAAUUC
rnacentral:rRNA from 1 species